GGUCAGAACGAACGCUGGCGGCGCGUUUAAGCAUGCAAGUCGAGCGGCAAGGGCCUUCGGGCCCCUAGAGCGGCGGACGGGUGAGUAACACGUGGACAAUCUGCCCCCCGGCCCGGGAUAGCCCAGGGAAACCUGGAUUAAUACCGGAUGAGACGGGACCCGCGAUGGCGGGACCCGGGAAAGGCGCUGCGGCGCCGCCGGGGGAUGAGUCUGCGUCCCAUUAGCUAGACGGCGGGGUAACGGCCCACCGUGGCGACGAUGGGUAGCCGGCCUGAGAGGGUGGACGGCCACAUUGGAACUGAGACACGGUCCAGACUCCUACGGGAGGCAGCAGCUAAGAAUCUUCCGCAAUGGGCGAAAGCCUGACGGAAGCGACGCCGCGUGAACGAAGAAGGCCGUGAGGUUGUAAAGUUCUUUUCGGGAGGGGGAACAACCGUGGCAGGGAAUGGCCGCGGGAUGACGUGAAUCCCGGAAUAAGCCCCGGCUAACUACGUGCCAGCCGCCGC
rnacentral:rRNA from 1 species